rnacentral:misc_RNA from 1 species
GUUGAGUCACGGGUCGAUUUAAUCAUGACCUAUGAGUGACAAUAUACUCGAUGUCGAAGGCAUUGUAACCCAACAAGUGGGGAGUUCGAUUUGGUUGGGACAAAUUGAACGAUCUGCGGUAGCAGCGAUAAAUGACGUGGUGUGGUUGGAAGUUUAGCCAUGCCCGGAUGUUGUUGUUACUUUGUGAUGUUGAUGAGAUUUGUCAGUUGUUUGAGGAUCUUAGUUUUAUGCUUAACUAGUAUCUUCAUGAGGCAUGCGCUAUCAAUCCGAUUGUAUGGCAUGUUGUCGUUUGAUUGUUGCCUUACGAUCGGAUUGUUGGUGUAACCGAUGACAUGAUUUGGCUUGUUAAUCUUAAAAUUGGGGAUGACAAUUUGAUGUUUCGUUUGUUGCUGAAAGAAUGUUGUUGAACGGUGAUGCCAAGGGUUUCUUGGUUUGAUGUGUUGUUGGUGAUGACAUUCGUCUCGAGGUGAUGCGGUGUCAUGUUGCCUGUGUAUCCUGGUAUUGAGCUAUUUAGCUUAAAACAUGUGGAUUUUCGGUUCGUGACACGGCAUCGCUCCCUUGGUUGAUGAAAGUCGUCCAACGAUGCGGUGGUUUGUUUGUUUUCUUCUCGCAUCGCUCGGUGCAUUCUGUGGUCAUUUUGGCUGUUGGCAUCUUGCUUGGCAAUUGAGCUUGGUGGGUUGCUACUGGUUGGGUGUCUUCGGGGAUGUCUACCGUAAAGGUGCAUGAGUGGUGUUUGGUUUGUUACGGGUGGUUGGCUCUUUGCUUGCGCAACAACUUCUACCCGGCAUACCUCUUCAGUCUUGUGUCAAUGCUUGUAUUGUAUUGAAUGCAUGGUGGGUUUCUUGUGUUGCAUGCCUAAUUAAUGGUAUCGCUUGAUGAAUUGGUUUUCCUUUCGUCUUGCAUUGCCUAUGCGAUGUGAGAUGAACCUUGAAGCAGCCUUUGUGAUCCACUCUUAGGAUGCAUACGCAUUGAUUUUGUGGCCCAUUGAGUGUUGCUCGGUCUCAUGGAUAUGGAACCUGGUGUGGGCAUGGAAUCUUAAUGGUUCCUUGUUUGCCCAAGUUUAGCUUUUCUAAAACGAUUGUCU